rnacentral:lncRNA from 10 species
GUUCCAUGUCCGCCACAUCUAGGGUGACAGGUUGGAUUAUGUCCCUCCCUAAGAGAUGUUGGACUCAUAACCUCAAGUACCUCAGGAUGCGAACUUAUUUGGUGAUAGGCUUUAUAGAGGUAUGCGUAUUAGUCCAUUUUCACGCUGCUGAUAAAGACAUACCUGAGACUGUGUCAUUUAUAAAGAAAAGAGGUUUAAUUGACUCACAGUUCCACGUGGCUGGGAAGGCCUCACAAUCAUGGCGAAGGCAAGGAGGAGCAAGUCACAUCUUACGUGGUGUCAGGGAAGAGAGAAAUGAGAACCAAACAAAAGGGGUUUCCCCUUAUAAAACCGUCAGAUCUUGUAAGACUUAUUCACUACCAUGAUAACAGUAUGGGGGAAACGGCUCCCAUGAUUCAAUUAUCUCCUACCAGGUCCCUCUCACAAGGUGGAAAUUAUGCGAGCUACAAUUCAAGAUGAGAUUUGAGUGAGGACACAGCCAAACCGUAUCAGCAUGCCCAAAUUGGAUCUCAGCGCCUGGGAGCUCCAACUUUAGCAAGUGCGAAAUCCUGUCUUCGGUUUUGGAAUUUUCAUCCGCACAGACUAUAUCAGCCACGGAUAGGAUAUGUGAGAAUACCAGCAUGUCAAGGCUGGGAAUCAUCCUUAGGCAUCACCUAGCCAGUCCUGCCUCUCAUUUUAAGAUGCAGAGUGUUCAUAUGAGGAGAGACUUUCCCUUGUCUCCGUCAUCUGUGAUUUCACUUCCCUGACAGAAGACGAAGCUUCCAUCUCAGAUGUUUUCUUAAAUGAUGAAACAGCAUACGCCUCUGUUCUUGUCAGCUCAGGGAAAACAGAUCUGGGGACCUCUUCAUCUCUGCGUUGGGAAGCAUAGGUGGUAUAAUCCCCUCCUGUCACGUCCAACGUUGCAUAGUCAGAAGCUUCGCCCUUGUAGUUGGUGCACACAGCACG